CCUACGGGGGGCAGCAGUAGGGAAUUUUUCACAAUGGGCGAAAGCCUGAUGGAGCAACGCCGCGUGCAGGAUGAAGGCCUUCGGGUUGUAAACUGCUUUUAUCAGCGAGAAAUAUGAUGGUAACUUAUGAAUAAGGAUCGGCUACCUACGUGCCAGCAGCCGCGGUCAUACGUAGGAUCCGAGCAUUAUCCGGAGUGACUGGGUGUAAAGAGUUGCGUAGGUGGCAUAAUAAGUAGCUAGUGAAAUCUGGUGGCUCAACCAUUCAGACUAUUAGCUAAACUGUUAAGCUCGAGACCGUUAGGGGUAACUGGAAUUUCUAGUGUAGGAGUGAAAUCCGUAGAUAUUAGAAGGAACACCAAUAGCGUAGGCAGGUUGCUGGGACGGGUCUGACACUAAGGCACGAAAGCGUAGGGAGCAAACGGGAUUAGAUACCCGGGUAGUC
rnacentral:rRNA from 1 species